rnacentral:rRNA from 1 species
GCUCACCUCUUCCCAUCUCGAACAGAGAAGUUAAGCCCGCCUGCGCAGAUGGUACUGCAUUUAUGUGGGAGAGUAUGUCGUCGCCUUUC